rnacentral:tRNA from 1 species
GGGGCCUUAGUAUAAUGGGAUUACGCUUGCAUGGCAUGCAAAUAAUACGAGUUCGAUUCUCGUAGGCUCCA